rnacentral:lncRNA from 1 species
CAGAGAGAUCAAUAUACAGCUUUUCUCCCUAUUCUUCCUCCUCUUUCUCUAGUCUUUCAUGCAGCAAGGAGCCCUGGGGGGGGGGCCUCCCUCAAGCCCUAGCCAUCCUAGGGUUUGGAAGAGGGAGGCACCCCAUCAUGUGGGUGCCCCAUCUAAAGGGGAGCCUCCAUUGUGUGGCCGCCUAAGAAUCCAUGUCCAUGGGAGUCUCCAUGCCCAAGAAGCUAUUUGAUGUGAUCAAAAAUCAGAGGAGGGCAUGGAAGGAGGCUUCAGAGGUGGGCAUGAGUGGAGGAAGUGCA